UCUUCUUCAAUUCUUCAUCCUCAUUCUCCAGGUGGACACCUGAUUUCUUCUUCAAUUCUUCAUCCUCAUUUUCCAGGUGGACGCCUGAUUUCUUCUUCAAUUCUUCAUCCUCAUUCUCCAGGUGGACGCCUGAUUUCUUCUUCAAUUUUUCUUCCUCAUUCUCCAGGUGGACGCCUGAUUUCUUCUUAAAUUCUUCAUCCUCAUUCUCCAAGUGGACGCCUGAUUUCUUCUUCAAUUCUUCAUCCUCAUUCUCCAGGUGGACGCCUGAUUUCU
rnacentral:lncRNA from 1 species